rnacentral:lncRNA from 1 species
UUUAACAAACACUUACCCGGUCUUUUCAUGUGCUAGGCACUAUUCUAAAUGUUGUGAGCAUUAACUCACUCAGUCCUCACAAGAGCUUUGUUAGGUCUUCUUACUGGCUCUAUUUUACAUCUGUAGGGGAGACUGAGGCACAGAGGGGUCAGGGAACUUUCCUAGGGUUGUACAGCUGUAAGUGGCAGAGCUGGAAUUGGAACCCAAGGAGUGUGGCUUCAGAAUCAACAGUAUACACAUCAUACCCUGCUGCCCCCAAUCACCUCUUUAGGUGCAUUUUGCUGGUCAUCUUUCUCCCAGAUGCUGAGCCUCUCACCCUGGUAUCCACCUUGCCCAGCAUAGCACCUGGCGCACAGGUGCUCAGUUCCUGUUUGUCAGGUGAAUGAAUGAAUUCAUGAGAAAGGGGGAAGCUUCCCACAACCUGACUACCUUGCAUGAUAAUUAUGAGAAUUUUGACAGAUUGCAGAAUUUCACACAUAGGUCGGGAACUGCUCUUCCAAGUCCUGUUGUCUUGUCAUUGUAAGACAGGAAAGCCCAGUUGUGCCAGCACACCUAGGGCAAGAGGUCAGCCAGGUGCCUCUCUCAGAGCCUGGCUCCUGGUUGGCCUCCUCAGGUCUCACUCUCUCCAUCUCCUCUUUGCUCGCUCCCUUGCUGUCUCUCCAGGUCUCCUUGUCACUGUCUGCCUGUCUCGUUCACUUGUCUUUGUUCAUGCCUUGCCUCUAGAUGCUCUCCGAAGCUGCUGAAGUUUGAGGACCUGCAAUAGCAAAUUUACUUUAUCAUCACUAUUGGGCAAUUUAAAAUAAACAUUAGCAUAGCUGGCAAAAGUGUAGGCAGGUGGUUACUCUGGAAUCCUAGAGAAGCAGGAUGAAGUUGAAUCAUCUUUUUCAUGUGGCUUCAGAGGCUGCUGGAAUCCUGGGUUCUGCCUGAUGCCUGUGGUGGUGCCGAAGAAUGGUGUAUUAGUAUGUUUUGUGUUACUAUAACAAAAUAUUGGAAGCUGGCUAGCUUUAUAAAGAAAACAGGUUUCUUUUUCUCAUAAUUUUGGAGGCUGAAAGUCCAAGAUCAGUGGCUUCCUUGGUGAGGGCCUAACAGCUAUGGCAUCUUAGCAGGAGAACAUUGGAGAAUAAGAGAUUAUAUCAUCAGACAAGAAGACAGAACCAGGAGGAGAACUAACCCAGGGGUCCCAGGAAAACUUCUUCAAUCCUCUCUGAGGGCAUUGUUCCCAGUGACCUCUCAUUAGGCCCAGCUCUACACCAUCACAUGGAGGACCAAGCUUCCAACACAAAAAUCCUUGGGGGAUAUACCACAUCCAAACUGUAGCAGGUGGUUCUGGGAUUUAGGUCCCCACCCAAAUUUCCAUUGGCCCCAAAUGCACAUACAUACAUAGCCAAAAAUAACUUGUUUGCCAUGAAAACACAACUUUAAGAUGAAUUCCUAGGCCUUACUUCCAUCCAUUGCCUGCCGGUCCCCUACAUACAAACUGUGCUACACACAAACUCGACAGCUCAACGGGGUCCAUCCAGUCACCUCUGCUUUGCUAAUCGCUGUCACUCACGUCUUAAGUAACGAGUGGCAUUGUAGGGCUACCAGGUUCCCUCGUCCUCAUUGAUUACUACUUGUCCCAGACACGUGUUGACAGUUCAUCUACCCAUUGGAUGGCAAUCUGAAGCAGCUGGUGGCGGGGACUCAGGAGGCACGAUCCUUGUCUUAAGGAAUUUCAGACGGGAGCUAAAGAAAUAACUGGAUGGAAAGUUAAAUGGCAGUGCUGGGGUUAACGAAGCUGUGUUGGCAGCAACAGACCAUCAGUGAUGGCUGUGAUGUGUCAAAGGCACAUGGGACAAAUAUCUAGGACUAAGUCCAUGGACAGGGCUCCUGUGGUCUGGAGGUGAGCAGUAGAUGGCCAUCCAGCCAUCAAGGAUGGUGGGCAGAGGGUAUUCCAGGCAGAGGACCGGCAGAACUGGAUGCGUAGUCUGGGACUUUGUGAUGAAUGGGCUCAGCUGGCAGUUCUGACCAAUGUGCCCAGGCAGGCCAGGCAGUGAGUGUGUGACGCUGGAUGUCAAGGCUGCCACAAACUUCAAAACAGAAAGCCUGGAAAGACAAUGUAGCAUUUGGCCUUCAAACCAAUGUGGAGAAAGAAAUUACACUCGGCCAUUUCUAAGACACAUUCAGUCAGAUCAGGUAUGAGUGACCACCCUAGGCCUUGCUCCUGAGGCCAGGAGAGAAUCCCUAGGAUGGAGGAUGGAGAUGCAUCAUCUUCAGGUGCCGAGGUCCCCUUGGGAGGUGAAUCCAGGCCUAGCUGUGCUGGGCCAGUUGCAGAGCCCUUCCAGGCUGUGGUUCUCUGCUGAAAAGACUUGACCUUGGUUUCUCAGGAAGACAUGAGUGGUAGAAUAAGCUGUCCUGGGAACAAAUUCCUUGGGCCAGUCUCUCCCUCAGUCUCUUGAUCCUGUCAGGCCUUUGGCCACCAGUAGUAGUCCAGUGACAUGUGGGGCCUACUUCAAACAGCUGUCUAAUGCUGGGCUUAUCUGUCCUCUGUCCCACCAGAAAACAAUCCAUUCCAAAAAGAAUUUUCCAGGCUGGCCUGAACCCUGUUGUUCAAUUACAGUGUAACAUCCAGCAUAUAAUGAGCACUCAAUAAAUAUUUGGAGCUUCUUCCCCACCCUCCAAUCCUCUGUACCACAACUGCACCAUCUCUCCUCUGGGGCUCUGGAGGAGCCAUCCCCGUUAGUAUCCUCAUUCUGGGCCCCUCCACCUUCCUCCAUGCAUCUCCCUCCACCCUUUCCCCACCCCAGGUCUCCAGUACCCCACCUACUGGGACUCCCACCUUGCUGGCUGGUCCCCACUGUGGCUCUCUGGGAAGAGCUUAGAAGGGGAGAAAACCCAUGUGGACCCUGACUGGGGAGAAUUAGAACAGUGGAGUUCUCUGUCCAGACAGGCUGGCAGGGUAGAGAAAGCUGCUUGAAAUACAGUAUAAUUUAUCUGUGUAUGUAUAGGUACUGGUAUCUAAGUUUAUCUGUGAGUCACUGUUGC